GCCUGGAUUACGACUGUGUGGUAAUCAGGAUGACAACUCAGAUCCACUGCAUCCUGAUGGUGUCUGCUGGGUUGGAUCAAAUGAAAUAAUGCCUGUGGAUUUUGAAAUACUGGGGUCAUCAGAACCGGAACAGAAUCUAAGACAAAACCAUACAUAAAUACCAAUGGAGGAACACGUCAAUGCACUUCUGGUGUGAGGGAUUGCUUUACUGGACAGCAAUGGAUCCUGUGGAUUUGCAUAAGUUUAAUGUCUCCCUCAAUGGAGUCAUUUCGUACCAGUAUGGCAUUUAUGAUGGACCCCUGUAUCACGAGUACAAGCCGCCCCCGCGGGACCUCAUCCAGUUACCAAGGGCAAUUCUGUACUUGCUGAUGGCAGCAGUGGUUGUUGUCGCAGUCGCUUAUGCUAUAGUUGGUCAUCUCAUCAAGGACUUGAUCCUCGACAUCCUGGACUGUGUUCUGGGCCCAGUUGAAGACAGCUGUAAAGCAGGACGUGACUCCAAUGCCAGCCCAGCACACAUGCCUCCCAUUCUCACCCACUCCCACCCCAAUGCGUUCCACGUGUGGGACCAGGAUGAUGUGGUAAUCCCUCUCUCAUCCUCCGAGGAGAGCCCUCAGGCCAGCCCUCUGAUGGCUGUCAUCCCAUACAUCCCUCACUUUUUCCCAUCAUCUCACAGCGUGACCAACAGCCCAUCCUUCACCCAGUCACAUUCGCAUCAUGGAGAUAAGUACGUCUACCCAUGA
ensembl:lncRNA